CGCGCAGGCGGCCAAGACAGUCAGGUGUGAAAGCCCGGGGCUUAACCCCGGAAGUGCAUUUGAUACUACUUGGCUUGAGUAUGGGAGAGGGAAGUGGAAUUCCUGGUGUAGAGGUGAAAUUCGUAGAUAUCAGGAGGAACACCGGUGGCGAAGGCGACUUCCUGGACCAAUACUGACGCUGAGGCGCGAAGGCGUGGGGAGCAAACA
rnacentral:rRNA from 1 species